GAGAGGAUCCGCAAAGAAAAAGAAGGGAGGGCAAGGAAGUGAAAAGACAAAGAAGUGAGGAAAAGGAAGUGCAAAGAAACCAAUGUGAGAAAGAAGUUAAUGAAGUUAUGUUGCUUGGCGAUGAGAUUGGCGAGAGCACGGAGGGGACAAAGGUUGAGUUUACUCUCGGGGACAUUGAUUUGGAUCAACCUACAGCUGUGCUAUCUCAGUUGAACGUUUGGUUGAAUGAUAAAGGUAAAGUUGUGGAACAAGCGGUCCAAUUACGGAAGAGGAAGAGGAUCAUUCCUAUGUGGAAGAUCAUUGAAGAUAGUGAAUUGGUUCAAAAAAAUCUGCCAGAGACAACCCGACUUCAGAUGUUAGACCCAAUGAAGGCGAUUCCGCAUGAUGAUAUGUUAAAAUUGCUGAAACUUUGUUAGGAAUGACGCCAUAACCCAAAUUUGGUGAUGCAAUUUGGCAACGUGGAAGGUGAGAUUGAAUUCUUCACUUCCCUCGUCAAAGCUGACGGUUGGCUGAAAGCAGAUCACAUUGAUUUGGGGUUGUAUCUCAUUCGGAAGCGACAACAAGAGUUGGAAGAAGUAGAAAUAUCGGACUGGACAACGACCGAUGUAUUUUUUAUGAAUCGCAUUUAUACUUACUUUGCGGAUAAUAAAAGAAAAAAGAGAGCAGGUUUGGUGGAAAAUUAGAAACAGUUUACUGAACGUUGUAAAUGGCAAGGUUCCGGCAUGUGGGAUGGAUUGGCAGAACGCUUAUAAGGUGUAUGCCCCUUGUAUGUUGACGAAGUACAAGCAUUGGGUGGCUGUAAUGAUUGAUCUGGUUAAGUGUGAAAUUGAAGUGUACGAUUCACUGGUUUCACUUAUUCCAGAGGAGAUCUUAAAGGAAGAACUCGCCCCGCUUUCAAUUACGAUUCCAAAUCUUCUCAACACCAUCGACUUUUAUGAAGAAGGUGUUUAUGCAAACAAUUGCAGCCGGGAUUGGUGGUGUCCGUGGCCAAUAGAAUGUGUAGGCGAUUGUGACAUGUUCGUGUUGAAGUACAUUGAGCUUUUGAGCACUAAGAUUCCGUUAGCUACUUGCACCUUGCAGAACAUGCCCUUUUUUCGGUUAAAAUUGGCUGCAGAGAUAACACGAGGAGAUGCUUACAUGCCAUGAUAUUGGUUGAACUUGGUUUAGGUACAUGAUGAUUAAAUAGGUUUUGGGAAUGUCCAAUUUCAAACUCAUGUAAAUACACAAUAGAGACCUACGGGUCCUUUUCGAAUUUUACCUAUGCUCUUCUAUUCUUCUU